rnacentral:rRNA from 1 species
AACGCUGGCGGCGUGCUUUACACAUGCAAGUCGAGCGAGGCGGCCCGCAAGGGUCAGUCGAGCGGCGAACGGGUGAGUAACACGUGGAUUAUCUACCCUAAGGUGGGGAACAACCCGGGGAAACUCGGGCUGAUACCGCAUGAUACCGAAAGGUCAAAGGGGGCUCGCAAGGGCUUCCGCCAUAGGAGGAGUCUGCGUCCGAUUAGCUAGUUGGUGAGGUAACGGCUCACCAAGGCUUUGAUCGGUAGCCGGUCUGAGAGGAUGAUCGGCCACACUGGAACUGAGACACGGUCCAGACUCCUACGGGAGGCAGCAGUGGGGAAUAUUGCGCAAUGGGCGAAAGCCUGACGCAGCGACGCCGCGUGGGGGAUGAAGCUUCUCGGAGUGUAAACCCCUUUCGACCCGGACGAAACUCCUGCAAGGGAUUGACGGUACGGGUAUAAGAAGCCCCGGCUAACUACGUGCCAGCAGCCGCGGUAAUACGUAGGGGGCCAGCGUUGCUCGGAAUUACUGGGCGUAAAGGGUUCGUAGGCGGUGUGGCAAGUCGGAAGUGAAAUCUCCAGGCUCAACUUGGAGGCUGCUCCCGAAACUGCCAUGCUAGAGUGCGGGAGAGGCCAGUGGAAUUGCAGGUGUAGCGGUGAAAUGCGUAGAUAUCUGCAGGAACACCCGUGGCGAAGCGGCUGGCUGGACCGCAACUGACGCUGAGGAACGAAAGC